AGUCAUAUGCUUGUCUCAAAGAUUAAGCCAUGCAUGUCUCAGUACAAGCCCAAUUAAGGUGAAACCGCGAAAGGCUCAUUAAAUCAGUUAUGGUUCCUUAGAUCGUACCCACAUUUACUUGGAUAACUGUGGUAAUUCUAGAGCUAAUACAUGCAAACAGAGCUCCGACCGGAGACGGGAGGAGUGCUUUUAUUAGAUCAAAACCAAUCGGCGGCGGGCGCGUCCGCGCGUCCGUUCGCCGCUCAAACUGGUGACUCUGAAUAACUUUCCGCUGAUCGCACGGUCUCGCACCGGCGACGCAUCUUUCAAAUGUCUGCCUUAUCAACUGUCGAUGGUAGGUUCUGCGCCUACCAUGGUCGUAACGGGUAACGGGGAAUCAGGGUUCGAUUCCGGAGAGGGAGCCUGAGAAACGGCUACCACAUCCAAGGAAGGCAGCAGGCGCGCAAAUUACCCACUCCCGGCACGGGGAGGUAGUGACGAAAAAUAACGAUACGGGACUCAUCCGAGGCCCCGUAAUCGGAAUGAGUACACUUUAAAUCCUUUAACGAGGAUCAAUUGGAGGGCAAGUCUGGUGCCAGCAGCCGCGGUAACUCCAGCUCCAAUAGCGUAU
rnacentral:rRNA from 1 species